CAUGCCCAAACAUGCAUUAAGGCUACGACGCAAGAAAUAAUUUAGCCUCCGCAAUGUGACAACUAUAAACCUAGUUAAGAGAUGCAGAACAGUGAGGCACAGGUAACCAGGCAUGGUUAUGAUUAAUGUACUUACAGUUGCAGUAUAAAUCGGAAGGCAUAAGAGCUUGGCCUCGCAUAAUUGUUUCGGCACGUAAAAUACCAGAAUCUGCUCUGGUUUCGUAUAGUACGUGCCCAAACUUGCAUCAAGGGUGCUAUGCAGAACAAUGAGACACAUGUAACCACGCAUGCUAAUAUGAUAAAGCUAUCUACCAUUUCAGUAUAAACGUGAAGGCAGAAGUGCUCUCAUAAUUGUUUCGGCACGUAAAACACCAGAAUCUGCUCUGGUUUCGUCCAGUACAUGCCCAAACAUGCAUUAA